rnacentral:rRNA from 1 species
UACGGAGGGUGCAAGCGUUAAUCGGAAUUACUGGGCGUAAAGCGUGCGCAGGCGGUUUGUUAAGUCUGUUGUGAAAUCCCCGAGCUCAACUUGGGAAUUGCAAUGGAUACUGGCAGGCUGGAGUAUGGUAGAGGAAGGUGGAAUUCCCGGUGUAGCAGUGAAAUGCGUAGAGAUGUGGAGGAAUACCGAUGGCGAAGGCAGCCCCCUGGGAUAACACUGACGCUCAUGCACGAAAGCGUGGGGAGCAAACAGG